rnacentral:rRNA from 1 species
AGAGUUUGAUCCUGGCUCAGAACGAACGCUGGCGGCAGGCCUCAAACAUGCAAGUCUAGGGGGUGUAGCAAUACAUCACCGGCGGACGGGUGCGUAACACGUGGGAAUAUACCUUUUGGUUCGGAACAACGCAGGGAAACUUGCGCUAAUACCGAAUGUGCCCUUACGGGGAAAGAUUUAUCGCCAAAGGAUUAGCCCGCGUAGGAUUAGCUAGUUGGUGAGGUAAUGGCUCACCAAGGCUCCGAUCCUUAGCUGUUCUGAGAGGAAGAUCAGCCACACUGGGACUGAGACACGGCCCAGACUCCUACGGGAGGCAGCAGUUGGGAAUCUUGGACAAUGGGGGAAACCCUGAUCCAGCCAUGCCGCGUGAGUGAUGAAGGCCUUCGGGUUGUAAAACUCUUCGACGGG